rnacentral:rRNA from 1 species
CCUAAUACAUGCAGUCGAGCGGACAGAUGGGAGCUUGCUCCCUGAUGUUAGCGGCGGACGGGUGAGUAACACGUGGGUAACCUGCCUGUAAGACUGGGAUAACUCCGGGAAACCGGGGCUAAUACCGGAUGGUUGUCUGAACCGCAUGGUUCAGACAUAAAAGGUGGCUUCGGCUACCACUUACAGAUGGACCCGCGGCGCAUUAGCUAGUUGGUGAGGUAACGGCUCACCAAGGCGACGAUGCGUAGCCGACCUGAGAGGGUGAUCGGCCACACUGGGACUGAGACACGGCCCAGACUCCUACGGGAGGCAGCAGUAGGGAAUCUUCCGCAAUGGACGAAAGUCUGACGGAGCAACGCCGCGUGAGUGAUGAAGGUUUUCGGAUCGUAAAGCUCUGUUGUUAGGGAAGAACAAGUGCCGUUCAAAUAGGGCGGCACCUUGACGGUACCUAACCAGAAAGCCACGGCUAACUACGUGCCAGCAGCCGCGGUAAUACGUAGGUGGCAAGCGUUGUCCGGAAUUAUUGGGCGUAAAGGGCUCGCAGGCGGUUUCUUAAGUCUGAUGUGAAAGCCCCCGGCUCAACCGGGGAGGGUCAUUGGAAACUGGGGAACUUGAGUGCAGAAGAGGAGAGUGGAAUUCCACGUGUAGCGGUGAAAUGCGUAGAGAUGUGGAGGAACACCAGUGGCGAAGGCGACUCUCUGGUCUGUAACUGACGCUGAGGAGCGAAAGCGUGGGGAGCGAACAGGAUUAGAUACCCUGGUAGUCCACGCCGUAAACGAUGAGUGCUAAGUGUUAGGGGGUUUCCGCCCCUUAGUGCUGCAGCUAACGCAUUAAGCACUCCGCC